CCGCCGGAUAAAUAGUCCAGGUUCUGCGGUUUGCUUCUGGGUGGCUUUGGUGCACUUUUCAGGGUUUCACGUUUUUCGGUUGCAAAGUAGGUAAAUUCUGGUAGAGACUUUUUUCCAAAACUUACUCACCUGAAAAACAUAAAAACUUUUUUUGGUGAGGGUGAGGUGGGGUAAAAACGUCAAUGUUAAGUCUGCUUUUCUCUACAUUUGGGACAUUGUGUAUGUACGUACUUGACAGUAUUUUAUAGUUUCCAAAGGAUUUCCUCAUCAUUGUCUAAUAACACUCGCCACGACCAUGACGUAUUGGUAGGAGUUAAUUUGACCCGUUUUUUUCCUUACAAAAAUUAUCUUCAGAGAGGGUGUGGACUGAAAAAAAAGAAAACAAACAAAAAAAUCUCCACAGCCUAGAAAUAGGGAAUUACCUUUUAUUCAGCGCACUGGCUGAGGACUUAAGCUGUGGAGAUGGCCUCUCAGAUGUCUGCGAGUGACUGUUCUGAAGAGCAGAGCGCUGGGUUAUGAUAGUCAGCACUCAGAGUAGAAAGUGAGCUGUUCCAAGCAGUACAGGAGGAAACUCAAGGACAGGACUUCAAAUGAUUCAGCCUUGGGAGUCCCAGAAGUCACUUCUGUCACAUUCUGUUGGUCAAGGAAGCCACGCAGAUUCAAAAUGACAAGGAUAGAUGAUCAAGACAAGGAAAUGAAAGAGGACCCAGGUGCCACAUGGAGACUUCAUCUCAAGAACAGUGAGGCUUCCUUUGUCUUAAAAAGGUGGUGCAGUGGUAAAGAAUUCACCUGCCAAGCAGAAGAUGCAGAAGACGUGGGUUCCAUUC